GGUGAGAAAAGUGGUCAGGGACCGUCCACAAAGUGCAACGAACAGAAAAGAGAAACAUAUUCAUUAACUUCAGUAUUAUGCAGUGUAGUACCACCAAAAUCACUUCACACAUCAAUGAUCUCCUCAUGGCUGUACUACAACAUUUAGUUUUGGAAAAAAUAUUAUUUUGCAUAAUGUUUUUUUAUUUUUAAU